GAUGAACGCUAGCGGCAGGCCUAAUACAUGCAAGUCGAACGGUGUAGCAAUACACAGUGGCGCACGGGUGCGUAACACGUAUGCAACCUACCUUACAUUGGGGGAUAGCCUUUCGAAGGGGAGAUUAAUACCGCAUAAGACAGUAACUAGGCAUCUAGUAGCUGUUAAAGAUUUAUCGAUGUAAGCUGGGCAUGCGUCCAAUUAGUUAGUUGGCGAGGUAAUGGCUCACCAAGACGAUGAUUGGUAGGGGAACUGAGAGGUCAAUCCCCCACACUGGCAAUGAGAUACGGGCCAGACUCCUACGGGAGGCAGCAGUAGGGAAUAUUGGGCAAUGGGCGCAAGCCUGACCCAGCCAUGCCGCGUGCAGGAAGAAGGCGUUAUGCGUUGUAAACUGCUUUUAUACAGGAAGAAACGACCCUUGCGAGGGGCAUUGACGGUACUGUAUGAAUAAGCACCGGCUAACUCCGUGCCAGCCGCCGCAGUAACAC
rnacentral:rRNA from 1 species